rnacentral:rRNA from 1 species
CCCUUAGAGUUUGAUCCUGGCUCAGGAUGAACGCUAGCGGCAGGCCUAAUACAUGCAAGUCGAACGAGAUUAGAGAGCUUGCUCUCUAUGAAAGUGGCGCACGGGUGCGUAACGCGUAUGCAAUCUACCUUAAUCAGGGGGAUAGCCCGGAGAAAUCCGGAUUAAUACCGCAUAACGUUAUUUUAUGGCAUCAUAGAAUAACCAAACAUUUAUGGGAUUAAGAUGAGCAUGCGUGACAUUAGUUAGUUGGUGAGGUAACGGCUCACCAAGACUACGAUGUCUAGGGGAUCUGAGAGGAUGACCCCCCACACUGGUACUGAGACACGGACCAGACUCCUACGGGAGGCAGCAGUAAGGAAUAUUGGUCAAUGGGCGCAAGCCUGAACCAGCCAUGCCGCGUGCAGGAAGACGGCCCUACGGGUUGUAAACUGCUUUUAUUCGGGAAUAAACCCUUUUACGUGUAAGAGGCUGAAUGUACCGAAGGAAUAAGGAUCGGCUAACUCCGUGCCAGCAGCCGCGGUAAUACGGAGGAUCCAAGCGUUAUCCGGAUUUAUUGGGUUUAAAGGGUGCGUAGGCGGCUUAUUAAGUCAGGGGUGAAAGACGGUGGCUCAACCAUCGCAGUGCCUUUGAUACUGAUGAGCUUGAAUACACUUGAGGUAGGCGGAAUGUGACAAGUAGCGGUGAAAUGCAUAGAUAUGUCACAGAACACCAAUUGCGAAGCAGCUUACUAAGGUGUUAUUGACGCUGAGCACGAAAGCGUGGGGAUCAACAGAUAGAUACCCUGGUAGUCACGCCCUAAACGAUGAAUACUCGAUGUUAGCGAUAUACCGUUAGCG